rnacentral:rRNA from 1 species
CCGUUGUACACACCGCCCGUCACAUCACGAAAGUCAGUUGUACCGGAAGCCGGUGCGCCAACCUUCGGGGGGUAGCCGUCCAUGGUAUGCCUGGCGAUUGGGGUG